rnacentral:rRNA from 1 species
GUGGUCCCACCUGACCCCAUGCCGAACUCAGCAGUGAAACGC